rfam:Salmo salar isolate Sally breed double haploid chromosome ssa06, whole genome shotgun sequence.
UGAAUGCACUAACUGUAAGUCGCUCUGGAUAAGAGCAUCUGCUAAAUGACUAAAG